rnacentral:rRNA from 1 species
UACGUAGGGUGCGAGCGUUAAUCGGAAUUACUGGGCGUAAAGCGUGCGCAGGCGGUUCGUUGUGUCGGUAGUGAAAGCCCCGGGCUUAACCUGGGAAUGGCCAUGGAAACUGGCGAACUGGAGUGUGGCAGAGGGGGGUGGAAUUCCGCGUGUAGCAGUGAAAUGCGUAGAGAUGCGGAGGAACACCGAUGGCGAAGGCAGCCCCCUGGGCUAGCACUGACGCUCAUGCACGAAAGCGUGGGGAGCAAACAGG